rnacentral:rRNA from 1 species
ACGCUAGUGACUGUGGAGCCGUCCUUGAAAUACCACCCUGGUGACUUUGAGGUUCUAACCCGGAUCCAUGAACUGGAUCGGGGACCGUGCAUGGUAGGCAGUUUGACUGGGGCGGUCUCCUCCCAAAGAGUAACGGAGGAGUUCGAAGGUUACCUAGGUCCGGUCGGAAAUCGGACUGAUAGUACAAUGGCACAAGGUAGCUUAACUGCGAGACCGACAAGUCGAGCAGGUGCGAAAGCAGGACAUAGUGAUCCGGUGGUUCUGAAUGGAAGGGCCAUCGCUCAACGGAUAAAAGGUACUCCGGGGAUAACAGGCUGAUUCCGCCCAAGAGUUCAUAUCGACGGCGGAGUUUGGCACCUCGAUGUCGGCUCAUCACAUCCUGGGGCUGUAGUCGGUCCCAAGGGUAUGGCUGUUCGCCAUUUAAAGUGGUACGUGAGCUGGGUUUAAAACGUCGUGAGACAGUUUGGUCCCUAUCUGCAGUGGGCGUUGGAAGUUUGACGGGGGCUGCUCCUAGUACGAGAGGACCGGAGUGGACGAACCUCUGGUGUACCGGUUGUGACGCCAGUCGCAUCGCCGGGUAGCUAAGUUCGGAAGAGAUAAACGCUGAAAGCAUCUAAGCGUGAAACUCGCCUGAAGAUGAGACUUCCCUAGGGAAAUAAUCCCUCUAAAGAGACGUUCGAGACCAGGACGUUGAUAGGUCGGGUGUGGAAGAGUGGUAACACUUGCAGCUAACCGAUACUAAUUGCUCGUGAGGCUUGACUCUAU